GAGGGUAUAGCUCAGUGGUAGAGUGCAUGCCUAGCAUGCACAAGGUCCUGGGUUCAAUUCCCCAGUACCUCCA
rnacentral:tRNA from 1 species